AGGUACAGCGGGUACUUGGGUGUACAGCGGCACCGCGGGCUACCCCGGGGGUGCGGGUGGUCAACCCCGCGCCCAGUCUGCGCGGGAAAUCGCGAGGGCCAGCCUUGGCCUGGACCCCAGAGCGGUAAUAAGUGAGCAGGACCAGAAAGGAUGUAAUCUGAGCCGGUAAGGGACGCUGGAGGUCUUUAGGUGAGAGCCCCGGGACCGGAGGCAGAGUCCCCGCCCCCGCCCUUUAGCUCUCAGGCUUGGGGCGCUCCCGGCUAGUGACAAGGGAAUCGUUGGGAAAUCACCCCUUCUAACCCAAAGGACUUACUUUGGGGUUUCCCCUUGCACCCUGGCCUUCCCCUAACCCUUCCUGCAGCACCUGCUGCCCCGGAGUCUCAAUGUGUUUGGACUUUGAGGGGGGCCAGGUCCAGGGUGUGUCUGCUCACCUGGAGGGGGCGGGUUUUAGGGGUUCUGCUAAGGGAACCCCUUGCCUUCUCCCUGAGUUGAGU
rnacentral:lncRNA from 1 species